rnacentral:rRNA from 1 species
UAGCCUUGACAUAUUAUAGAAUUCAGUAGAGAUACAGAAGUGCCUUCGGGAGCUAUAUUACAGGUGCUGCACGGCUGUCGUCAGCUCGUGUCGUGAGAUGUUGGGUUAAGUCCCGCAACGAGCGCAACCCUCGUCACUAGUUACUAACGGUUAGGCCGAGGACUCUAGUGAGACUGCCUUCGUAAGGAGGAGGAAGGUGAGGACGACGUCAAGUCAUCAUGGCCCUUACGGCUAGGGCAACACACGUGCUACAAUGGGUAGGACAAUGAGAAGCGAUACCGCGAGGUGGAGCAAAUCUAUAAACCUACUCUCAGUUCGGAUAGCAGUCUGCAACUCGACUGCUUGAAGCUGGAAUCACUAGUAAUCGUAGAUCAGCCAUGCUACGGUGAAUACGUUCCCGGGUCU